rnacentral:rRNA from 1 species
UGGGGAAUUUUGGACAAUGGGCGAAAGCCUGAUCCAGCAAUGCCGCGUGUGUGAAGAAGGCCUUCGGGUUGUAAAGCACUUUUGUCCGGAAAGAAAUCCUUGGCUCUAAUACAGUCGGGGGAUGACGGUACCGGAAGAAUAAGCACCGGCUAACUACGUGCCAGCAGCCGCGGUAAUACGUAGGGUGCAAGCGUUAAUCGGAAUUACUGGGCGUAAAGCGUGCGCAGGCGGUUUGCUAAGACCGAUGUGAAAUCCCCGGGCUCAACCUGGGAACUGCAUUGGUGACUGGCAGGCUAGAGUAUGGCAGAGGGGGGUAGAAUUCCACGUGUAGCAGUGAAAUGCGUAGAGAUGUGGAGGAAUACCGAUGGCGAAGGCAGCCCCCUGGGCCAAUACUGACGCUCAUGCACGAAAGCGUGGGGGAGCAAAACAGGAUUAGAUACCCUGGUAGUCCACGCCCUAAAACGAUGUCAACUAGUUGUUGGGGAUUCAUUUCCUUAGUAACGUAGCUAACGCGUGAAGUUGACCGCCUGGGGAGUACGGUCGCAAGAUUAAAACUUAAAUGAAUUGACGGGGUCAUAGCUGUUU